CUGGAUAAGCAGUUUCCUUGGCURGUCUCCUCCUCAGACCCAAUAGUUAUUGGUCUACUCUGCAGUAAAUGCCGGAUCAUUUUGUGAAUUCCAGUAAGCUCUGUGCCUURCUGAUCCCUUUGGGGAGUGAGGGCCACAACACGGCUGCCCAUGUGAAGAGAUGUUCCUCCAAUGAUCAAGGCAGGAACCUGAAACUCGGGGGUUGCUGGAUGUGGAUCACUGGGACUGGAUGACAGAAAAAUCUAGCUGGGGAUAAAGCUGGGCAAAGAUAAAGAAAUUCUGAACGCAUCAGUUCAUCAACAGGCUUGUGCCUGACAGAAAGCCAGCUUGUUACACAUACUUGCUUGCUUCAAAUAUUUACUACUGGAGUAAUAUGAGCUGUACUGCAGGACAACAGAAGGGCACAAAAAGGGUAUUAGAAGUAUAGAUAAGAAGCGACUUGUGAAAAAAGGACUGUUUGAAAGAGCAGAGAUUGUUGGAGGAAGAUAAAAUGAGAGGAAGAGUGUGUGUAAUUUCCCAGAAGGGAAAUCCUGAGAACCAAGCGUGCAGUGYUGGAAAGCAGCUACAGG